GAUGAACGCUGGCGGCGUGCCUAAUACAUGCAAGUCGAGCGAACAGAUGAGGAGCUUGCUCCUCUGACGUUAGCGGCGGACGGGUGAGUAACACGUGGAUAACCUACCUAUAAGACUGGGAUAACUUCGGGAAACCGGAGCUAAUACCGGAUAAUAUAUUGAACCGCAUGGUUCAAUAGUGAAAGACGGUUUUGCUGUCACUUAUAGAUGGAUCCGCGCCGCAUUAGCUAGUUGGUAAGGUAACGGCUUACCAAGGCAACGAUGCGUAGCCGACCUGAGAGGGGGAUCGGCCAAACUGGAACUGAGACACGGUCCAGACUCCUACGGGAGGCAGCAGUAGGGAAUCUUCCGCAAUGGGCGAAAGCCUGACGGAGCAACGCCGCGUGAGUGAUGAAGGUCUUCGGAUCGUAAAACUCUGUUAUUAGGGAAGAACAAAUGUGUAAGUAACUAUGCACGUCUUGACGGUACCUAAUCAGAAAGCCACGGCUAACUACGUG
rnacentral:rRNA from 1 species